rnacentral:rRNA from 1 species
AUUGAACGCUGGCGGCAUGCUUUACACAUGCAAGUCGAACGGCAGCACGGGCUUCGGCCUGGUGGCGAGUGGCGAACGGGUGAGUAAUAUAUCGGAACGUACCCAGAAGUGGGGGAUAACGUAGCGAAAGUUACGCUAGUACCGCAUACGAUCUAUGGAUGAAAGCAGGGGACCGCAAGGCCUUGUGCUCCUGGAGCGGCCGAUAUCUGAUUAGCUAGUUGGUGAGGUAAAGGCUCACCAAGGCGACGAUCAGUAGCUGGUCUGAGAGGACGACCAGCCACACUGGAACUGAGACACGGUCCAGACUCCUACGGGAGGCAGCAGUGGGGAAUUUUGGACAAUGGGCGCAAGCCUGAUCCAGCAAUGCCGCGUGAGUGAAGAAGGCCUUCGGGUUGUAAAGCUCUUUUGUCAGGGAAGAAACGGUAGAGGCUAAUAUCCUUUGCUAAUGACGGUACCUGAAGAAUAAGCACCGGCUAACUACGUG